rnacentral:rRNA from 1 species
GUCGAGAAUCUUUCACAAUGGGGGCAACCCUGAUGGAGCGACGCCGCGUGGAGGAUAAGGUCUUCGGAUUAUAAACUCCUGUCAUGCGUGAACAAGGUUGCUUGGUUAAUACCUGGGCAAAUUGAUGGUAACGCAAGAGGAAGAGACGGCUAACUCUGUGCCAGCAGCCGCGGUAAUACAGAGGUCUCAAGCGUUGUUCGGAAUCACUGGGCGUAAAGGGUGCGUAGGUGGCGUGGUAAGUCAGAUGUGAAAGCCCGGGGCUCAACCUCGGAACUGCAUCCGAUACUGCCAUGCUAGAGUACUGGAGAGGUGACUAGAAUUCUCGGUGUAGCAGUGAAAUGCGUAGAUAUCGAGAGGAAUACCAAAGGCGUAGGCAGGUCACUGGACAGUUACUGACACUGAGGCACGAAGGCCAGGGGAGCGAACGGGAUUAGAAACCCUGGUAGUCC